rnacentral:rRNA from 1 species
CUGAUGCAGCACGCCGCGUGAGGGAUGACGGCCUUCGGGUUGUAAACCUCUUUUAGCAGGGAAGAAGCGAAAGUGACGGUACCUGCAGAAAAAGCGCCGGCUAACUACGUGCCAGCAGCCGCGGUAAUACGUAGGGCGCAAGCGUUAUCCGGAAUUAUUGGGCGUAAAGAGCUCGUAGGCGGUUUGUCGCGUCUGCUGUGAAAUCCCGAGGCUCAACCUCGGGCCUGCAGUGGGUACGGGCAGACUAGAGUGCGGUAGGGGAGAUUGGAAUUCCUGGUGUAGCGGUGGAAUGCGCAGAUAUCAGGAGGAACACCGAUGGCGAAGGCAGAUCUCUGGGCCGUAACUGACGCUGAGGAGCGAAAGGGUGGGGAGCAAACAGGCUUAGAUACCCUGGUAGUCCACCCCGUAAACGUUGGGAACUAGUUGUGGGGUCCAUUCCACGGAUUCCGUGACGCAUCUAACGCAUUAAGUUCCCCGCCUGGGGAGUACGGCCGCAAGGCUAAAACUCAAAGGAAUUGACGGGGACCCGCACAAGCGGCGGAGCAUGCGGAUUAAUUCGAUGCAACGCGAAGAACCUUACCAAGGCUUGACAUAUACUAGAACGGGCCAGAAAUGGUCAACUCUUUGGACACUCGUAAACAGGUGGUGCAUGGUUGUCGUCAGCUCGUGUCGUGAGAUGUUGGGUUAAGUCCCGCAACGAGCGCAACCCUCGUUCUAUGUUGCCAGCACGUAAUGGUGGGAACUCAUGGGAUACUGCCGGGGUCAACUCGGAGGAAGGUGGGAGAUGACGUCAAAUCAUCAUGCCCCUUAUGUCUUGGGCUUCACGCAUGCUACAAUGGGCCGGUACAAAGGGGCUGCAAUACCGUGAGGUGGAGCGAAUCCCAAAAAGCCUGUCCCAGUUCGGAUUGAGGUCUGCAACUC